CCUACGGGUGGCUGCAGUGGGGAAUAUUGCACAAUGGGGGAAACCCUGAUGCAGCGACGCCGCGUGAGUGAAGAAGUAUUUCGGUACGUAAAGCUCUAUCAGCAGGGAAGAAAAUGACGGUACCUGACUAAGAAGCCCCGGCUAACUACGUGCCAGCAGCCGCGGUAAUACGUAGGGGGCAAGCGUUAUCCGGAUUUACUGGGUGUAAAGGGAGCGUAGGUGGCAGGGUAAGUCAGAAGUGAAAACCCGGGGCUAAACCCUGGGAUUGGUUUUGAAACCUUUCAGCUGGAGUGCAGGAGGGGUAAGCGGAAUUCCUAGUGUAGCGGUGAAAUGCGUAGAUAUUAGGAGGAACACCAGUGGCGAAGGCGGCUUACUGGACUGUAACUGACGCUGAGGCUCGAAAGCGUGGGGAGCAAACAGGAUUAGAUACCCGAGUAGUC
rnacentral:rRNA from 1 species